ACCUGGCUGGUUCAGUUGGUAGAGCAUGUGACUCCUAAUCUCGGGGUCAUGAGUUCGAGCCCCAUGUUGGGUG
rnacentral:tRNA from 1 species